AUUGAACGCUGGCGGCAGGCCUAACACAUGCAAGUCGAACGGUAACAGGGAGAUGCUUGCUUCUUUGCUGACGGGUGGCGGGAGUGUUACAACUGUCCGGGCCCCUGCGUGGGGGAGGGGGCUACCUACUGGAAACGGAUGCCACUACCGCAUAACGUCGCAAGGCCAAAGAGCGGGAGGCUCCGCGCUCUUGCCACCGGCUGUGCCGAGUUGGGAUUAGCUAGGAGGUGGGGUAACGGCUCACCUAGGCGACGAUCCGUAGCUGGUCUGAGAGGAUGACCAGCCACACUGGAACUGAGACACGGUCCAGACUCCUACGGGAGGCAGCAGUGGGGAAUAUUGGACAAUGGGCGCAAGCCUGAUCCAGCCAUGCCGCGUGUAUGAAGAAGGCCUUCGGGUUGUAAAGCACUUUCAGCGGGGAGGAAGGCAGUUAAGUUAAUACCUUGGCUCAUUGACGUUACCGGCAGAAGAAGCACCGGCUAACUCCGUG
rnacentral:rRNA from 1 species